UACGAAGGGGGCUAGCGUUGCUCGGAAUCACUGGGUGUAAAGGGUGCGUAGGCGGGUUUUUAAGUCAGAGGUGAAAUCCUGGAGCUCAACUCCAGAACUGCCUUUGAUACUGAAGAUCUUGAGUUCGGGAGAGGUGAGUGGAACUGCGAGUGUAGAGGUGAAAUUCGUAGAUAUUCGCAAGAACACCAGUGGCGAAGGCGGCUCACUGGCCCGAUACUGACGCUGAGGCACGAAAGCGUGGGGAGCAAACAGG
rnacentral:rRNA from 1 species